ACCCAUGCGAGGACAUCCAAUAAAAUUGGAAUGAUACAAAGUAGAUUAGCAUGGCCUUAACACAAGGAUGAUACACAAAAUCGAGAAAUGGUAUUAAAACUA